rnacentral:rRNA from 1 species
CACGUAGGGCGCAAGCGUUGUCCGGAAUCAUUGGGCGUAAAGCGCGCGUAGGUGGCUUCGUAAGUCCGUUGUGAAAGUCAAAGGCUCAACCUUUGAAAGCCGAUGGAUACUGCGGAGCUAGAGUACGGAAGAGGCGAGUGGAAUUCCUGGUGUAGCGGUGGAAUGCGCAGAUAUCAGGAGGAACACCGAUGGCGAAGGCAGGUCUCUGGGCCGAUACUGACGCUGAGGAGCGAAAGCGUGGGGAGCGAACAGG